rnacentral:rRNA from 1 species
UACUUAAGGAGGGAUAACAGUCGGAAACGGCUGCUAAUACCGCAUAAAGCAUCAAAUUCGCAUGUUUUUGAUGCCAAAGGAGCAAUCCACUUUUAGAUGAGCUCGCGUCUGAUUAGCUGGUUGGCGGGGUAACGGCCCACCAAGGCGACGAUCAGUAGCCGGACUGAGAGGUUGAACGGCCACAUUGGGACUGAGACACGGCCCAG